AAUUCUUCUAUUGUGCACCUUCUCGAACAACUAGAACGUCUUUCUUAUAUACUCCUUCAUGCCAUCAUACCCGUUGGCACUUAUCAAAGGAAUUCCUCCAAUCUACCCGUUGGACGGAAUCAAUUAAGAAGAUCAUUCGAGCUAUUUAAAGAACAUGUCGAUAGCCCAUCAAUCAUGUUCGCCCAUAUAAUCAGGAUCUUGGUUUCCAUAAGUAGAACCUUCCAAGUAUACUUUUCCAAUCAUCGGAUCCUUAAUCUUCAAAUCAAUUAUGAUCAAACAAAGGAUUCCGUUAUGUCAUAUCCAGCCAAGAGAUCUUCUCCAGUCGAUAAGGUCAUAUCCUUAAUGAAACAUCCAGUUCCGGAUGGCCUUUCUUCAACGGAUUAGAAACUGUCAAUGAGGAUAGACUUUGAGUCUUGAGACUGGCUGUCUAAAGGUCUUCAGACUUUAAAUAGCAGAGUCUGCAAGCCUUCAGACUAGACUGAUGGAAACGUUUUGUCAAUUUCAAAACACUUCAAGAGGAUUUCUCCAACAAUCUCCCCAUUUUUGAUGGUGACAAAACUUUCCUGUAGAUUUGGAAAACUUUGACCUGCAAAACAUUUCUCAAACACAUAUGCAUAUCUUAUAGAGAUAAAUGGCUAAAUGAAUAACUAAUAACACUAGGAUCUGCAACCACAGAAAAUAGGUUAGUCCAGUAUGCAAUAAAGCCAUCCAUAAGAUAUUAAUAGUAGUUAAUAAGCAGUCAAAUCCCAAAUUUAGUUCACAUCCAGACACACAUGACUCACAAGUCAAGUUAAAACAAACCACAAACCAAACAAGCCAAAAGUUCGACAAAUUUAAGUUCAAAGUUUUUCAAGUCUCGCAACUCUCCCCCUUUUUGUCAGCAUAAAAAAGAUUGAGAUGAAAAUGGAGUCAAGAAUGCUUGGGAACAUGAACAAGCUGGAAAUCUCCCAUCGAUUGAACGAGCCUUCCGGCCUUUUCAAGUCUUCCUUCAGUUGUGCAACAUCCUCACCCUUAGCAUUAGCCUAAAUCUAAAGAGAAAGGGCUUGGAUCUUAUCAUUCAAUAAACCCGAAAAAGCUUGACCUGCAUUAUGCAAGUUCUGAACUUCGCAUCCCAAUGCAUAUAUCUGACCUUGCAUCUCCAAGAGAAUAUCCAUAACUCUGCGAAAGUCUGCUGAAUUGUCGGUCUGCGUACUAGCAUCAGCACGAUCUGAUGGAGUAAAUGCAGACGAUGGUAGAUUAGCAUAAUCACGCAGAUUUGGCGAAAGAACAUCAUGACCUUCCUCAGGAAACUGAGAGGCAUAAAUAUCUUCUGGAUCUGCUGGGGAUCGACUGACUCCCUCACUGGUUGCAGGAUUUGAGGACAUUCCUCUUUUCUCUUGGUCUCCCCUUGUGUUCAUGCCUUCGGGUGGAGAGUGCUCCUCAUGUUCUCCUUCUUCUUGAUCUCUUUUCUCUUCUUCUUCUUUUUCAACUCUCUCUUUCUUAGCAUCUCUUUCUUCUUCUUCUCUUUCCUCCAUUUCUUUUUCCUCUGCUUCUUUCUCUGCUCUUUCUUCUGUCUGCUGUUCUAACUCUUUCUCUUGAACGGAUCAACUGAGAUUCUUCAAAGCAGAAAUAGUGAUGUUUUCCUCAUCAUCUUCAUCCUCAACAAGGAGAGCUCUUCUUCUCUUGGAUGGAGCAUCGAUGGGCUCCUUCCCUUUUCUUUUUCCUGCAGAAGAGAAUUGAUGAGAUUUGACUGGAGUCUUCUCCUUAAUUUUCUCUAAUGCCUUGCUUAGUUCCUUCAGACGCAUCUUGGUCACCAUUUUCAGUCCCACCACCAUAUGAUCGCACGAUCGAGCACAAAGAAUUUGCGGAGGCUGAAUGUUCAGAUGUCUGAAUAACUUCGUCACAAGUCCUGGAUAAGGAAGUUGACCUCUGUCCUUCAUCACAGCUCUAUACAUAUGGAACAUAACAGUGUGAGGAAGUGAAAACCUUUUCCCAGUGAUGAUUGCAUACAUUAGCUUUGCUUCUGAACUUGAGACAUCAGUCUUAGAAGUUGAUUUUGGUCUGAGACAAGUGGUUACAAUUUUGUGCAGUAAGAUGUUGAAUGCACUCAUCCUUGAAUAAGAAAUCUUUUCCUCUGUUCUCCUGUCCUUAACAAGUUCCAGUGUAGUACGCGCAAUAGAAACUUUGAUCCGUUGAUAUCUUCCUCUCUCAACUCCUAACACAUCUGCCAGCAUAUCCAUAUCCACUACAAAGUCUUGAUCUUUGACACUGAAGGAAAAUCUAUUCGCAUCGAAAAAACUAAGAUUUGAAUAGAAAUAUGCAGUUAGUUGAGGAUAGGCCUCUGUAGUGUCAAAGCAGAAUUUUUCAAGUUGAAAAUGACCGAACUUUUCCCUUAAGUUCACAUUCACAGCAUCCAGAAAAUCAAAAUCCACACUCCUAGGGUUUAUCACCCCACGCUUCAGCAAUUUUGAGUAUAGAUCCUUCUGUUCCUUCGAUCUAAACAACUCUCCCAUUUUUCCUCGAAUCUCCGCCGCAACUCCCAUUCUUGGUUGAAAUUGGCUGUAUAAUUUGUCAUCAUCAUUUUCAUCUACCGGAUUAAUUCCCCAAUCACGAGGAUCACUUGGGAUAUUCGCAAGGGUUUCUUUUGCCACCCCUUUACGAGCAAUUCCCAAACUUUCCAUUUUUCGCAAAAAGAUAAAAUCCUUUGUCUUUAAGAAAAUCAUCGACAUAGUUCAAUGGAGUACCAGUCCCUUUAAAGCACGAUACAGCUUAUAAAUAAAAGAGGGCAUUUGAACUCUUACAGGGUCUGCAUCUUCAAUGAUUUCUUCAUUUUGUUGAUGAUCAACAUCUUGCGGACUAGAUGGAGGAGUAUGACGCUACUGAGAAUGUUGUGGGCUCUGCUACUGAUUUGGAGACACUUGUUCUUCAGUGAGAUCGAAGUGCGUAAGCCCCUCACUCAUUCGCCGUGGUCCCCUGCUUGCGAUCCUCGAAGACUUUCUUGAAGACGACAUCUUUCUUAGUCUUUGAAAGAUUCUUUGCUUGACUUUCCCAAGAAAGAUGACAACUUUUUCGAAGAUUAAACAAGAGAAGAAAACAUGAAUGGAAGAUUGGUGCUUUUUAGGGUUUUGGAGUUAAGCGAAGAGAAACUGACUGUAUAUAAAACAGUCGAAAGGAGGGGAUACCAAUCGUCGUAAUGGAAAGUGAAAAGAUGCCUUUAAAAAAAUAACUGCCUUUUUCGAAAAAUGGUCAUUUCAAAAUAACUCAUUUUUCUACAGGAAACGAUGCAAUAAUCUCGUCAAUUGAAGAUAGCGGUUGAGAUAACAAUAAUCAAACAUGGUUGAUAAACGUACCUUUUCAAGAUGAGAUUAGAGAGAGAAAAUAACUUACAGUCAAAGUCUUGCAGUUAAAAUCUUAUUUGUCUGAGUCUGAGAGUCUCUAGACUUUAACUUCUUCAAACCUCAAAAUGUUGAGUCUGGAACGGAUAAUUUCAAAUUGAUUUUUCUCCAAAGGCUUUGUAAAUAUAUCCGCCAGUUGGUUCUUUGAGUCAACAAACUGGAUCGUAAUUUCUCCAUUUUGAACAUGAUCUCUAAUGAAGUGAUGUCGAAUCUCUAUAUGCUUUGCUCUUGAGUGAAAAAUUGGAUUCUUGGUGAGAUUGAUUUCGCUGGUGCUGUCACAUUCAAUCUCCGUGCAUAAAUUUUCAAUUCCAAAGUCUCUUAGCUGUUGUUUUAUCCACAGAAUUUGUGAACAACAACUUCCGAGAGCUACAUAUUCUGCUUCUGCUAUAGAGAGAGCUACUAUACUUUGCUUCCUUGAAAACCAAGACACUGUCUUGCCUCCAAGUAGUUGACAGGUACUUGAGGUGCUCUUUCUAUCAACUCUGCAUCCGGCUAAGUCUGCGUCUGAGUACCCGAGAAGAGUAAAGUCUCCCAUUUUAGGAUACCAAAAACCGAAGCUUGAAGUUGAUGCAAUAUAUUUGAUAAUACGCUUUGCAGCAUUUAAUUGUGAUUCUUUAGGGUCUGCUUGAAAUCUGGCACAAAUGCAAACACUAAACAAAAUGUCAGGUCUAGAAGUAGUAAGAUAAAGAAGUGAACCGAUGAUACUCCUGUAUAACUUUUGGUCGACUUUCUUUCCUCCUUCAUCUUUAUCUAUCUUCAAGGAGCUUGACAUUGGUAUAUCGGCCUUUUUGCAAUUGUCCAGUCCAAACUUCUUCACAAUAUCAUUAGCAUAUUUUUCUUGAUGAAUAAAAGUUCCUUCCUUCAGUUGUUUCACUUGAAGUCCAAGAAAGAAGGUUAACUCACCCAUCAUGCUCAUUUCAAAUUCAUCCUGCAUAGUCUUAGAGAAUUUCUUGCACAGACUUUCAUUAGAGGAUCCAAAAAUAAUAUCAUCGACAUAUAUUUGAACAAGUAGAAAACUCUUGCUUUCUCUUUUAACGAAAAGAGUAGUGUCUACUUUACCUUUAACAAAUCCAUUUUCAAUUAAGAACUUACUCAGUCUGUCGUACCAAGCUCGAGGUGCUUUUUUUAAGCCAUAUAAAGCCUUUUUGAGUCUGAAUACUGAGUCUGGUUUCCUUGGGUCUUCAAACCCAGGAGGUUGUUCCACAUAGACUUCCUCUUGGAUGAAUCCAUUUAGGAAGGCACUUUUGACAUCCAUUUGGAAUAACAUGAAAUUCUUAUAACAAGCAAAAGCAAGUAAUAAUCGAAUUGCUUCUAACCUUGCUACUGGUGCGUAAGUCUCGUCAUAGUCUAUCCCUUCUUCUUGCAUGUAUCCCUUGGCCACGAGUCUUGCCUUGUUUCUUAUAACUUUUCCUUUCUCGUUCAUCUUGUUCCUGAAAACCCAUUUAGCUCCAAUAACAGAUUUACCUUUUGGUUUAGGAGUCAAUUCCCAUACAUCAUUAAUGCUUAAUUGCCUGAGCUCUUCUUGCAUAGCUUCAAUCCAGCUUUCAUCAGAUAAAGCUUCUUCUAUGCUUUUGGGUUCUAUUUAAAAACAAGAGCCAUAGCUUCAGUCCAGCUUUCUCGUCAAUGUCUUCUUGUUGUAGACUCUGUACGCUUUGCUUGAGGUUGAAUAUCCAAGGAAGAUGCCUUCAUCUGACUUUUCUUCAAACUUACCAACUCCAAUGCUUUGUGUUCUGGUUGGUCCAAAAAGAUCCAUAUGCAGAAGCUGCAGUACACGGUUAGUGGAAACUUGAUUUAUUGGUUUAAAGGAAUUUCUUACAUGUUUUCCCAAUAUACAUGGUGUACAUAGAUCAGACUUUUGGUAUGAUAAAUUGGGUAGACCACGAACAAGCUUCUUUGCUGAGAUUUUGGCUAUUUGCUUCAUAUUGACGUGCUCAAGCUUUCUGUGCCAUAAGUUUGCUUCGUCUUGGAUUGAGAUUAGACAUUGUGAUUCAUCUGGUUUCACAUCCAAGAGGUAGAUAUUUCCAUGUCUUCGACCCAUGAAUGACUGAGUAGAAUCUUUACUAAUUCCUGAACAUAUUCCCUCUUGAAAGUUGAUUUUGAAACCAGUAUCACAUAGCUGACUAAUACUGAGCAAAUUGUAAUUAAGCCCUUCCACUAAGGAAACAUUGCUGAUUGUGAGAUUUCCAAUCUUUACAGUUCCAAAUCCCACGAUUUUUCCUUUGCUGUUUCCUCCAAAAGAGACUUUUCCACCAUUUACUUGAACAAGCUUUAUGAAGUAAUUUGAGUCUCCUGUCAUGUGUCUUGAGCAUCCACUAUCCAGAUACCAUUUUACCUUUUUCUUGAUAGUGACCUGCAUUUAAAAAAGAAAUUCAAACCUUCUUUGGUACCCAUAUUUUCUUGGGUCCAUUGGUGUUAGUAUGAUAUGCGGUUUUUGCCCAUACCUUUUUAACAGGUUUCCAAAUCAUAGGACAUUCUUUUUCAAAAUGAUCUGCACUAUUGCACUUUGAGCAUUUGAGAGCAUUGCGACCUACUGGUUUUACAAAGAUCAUUUUAAAAUGAUUUUUGUAAGCAUCUAUUGUGGGUCUUUGUUUGAUUCGUUCCUUUACUUUAGGAAAAUCAAUUAAAGGAAUGGUUUCAGUAGUCAUUCCCAAACCAGAUUUAUUGAAAUAAGGUCUUUGAACAGAGAGAAUUUUUUCCAAUUUCUCAGAUCCUAUAGAAAAUCUUUUGGAAAUGUUUGAGAUAUCACUUUUCAAGAAUGCAUUUUCUUUUAAAAGAUUAUCUUCACUUUCUUUAAGAGAAGAAACAUUCUUGUCUAAACAAUUCACUUUUUCUUUCAAAAUAUUUUCCUGUUGUUUUAGAGCAGAAUUUUCCUUCUUGAGUUCGGAAAUUCUUUUAAGAGAAGUCUUAAGACUAAAACACAAUUCAUCAAUGUAUUUUGAAAUCUUAAUAGGGAUUUUGAAGUUACUUACCUCAAAUUCGCUUUCUGAAUCUGAAUCUGUCUCGGAAUUUGAAUCUGAAUCCGAUUGUGCCAUCAGACAUAUAUUGGCAUAAUCAUCAUCACUUUCUUCACACUCUGUAUCACUCCAUGUUUCAGCUUUAAGAGCUUUUCGGUUCUUUUCAGUUUUUCCUUUCUUCUUCCUCAGAAGAGGACAGUUGGGUCUGAUGUGUCCCUUUUUCUUACAUUCAAAGCAGACUACAUCUUUGUUCGAUUCAUCAUCCUCAACAGACUUAGUCUGUUGCUUUUGAAAACUUUGUUUCUUUGGAUUGAAUCUUCUUCCUUUUCUGUUUAGCUUUCUGAAUCUUCUUAUCAUUAGAGCAAGUUCCUCAUCAUCCAUAUCGUCUUCAGAAUCUGUAACAUCAGAAUCAUCAUUAGAUUUUAAUGCAAUGGAUUUCUUACCUUUAGGGUCUUCGUCUUCAUUGAUUCGUUCCACUUCAUAAGACUGAAUAGUCCCAACCAACUCAUCAACAGAUAGUGGCAUUAUUCUUUGGGUCUCUCUGAUUGAGGUCUUUAUGUUAUUCCAAUCCUUGGAGAGUCCACGCAGUAGCUUGUUUACUUUCAUGGGAUCAUAAAUUGGUUGACCUUGAUUUUCAAGACCAUUCACAAUAUCUAUAAAACGACUAAACAUAUCAAUUAUAGAUUCUCCUAGUUUCAUUUUGAAGGCUUCAUAUUGGCCGAGGAGAAUGUUGAUUCUAGUCUCUUUCACUCGAUCGGUUCCUUCAUAGGUAAUAUGUAGUCUAUCCCAGACUUCUUUGGCUGUAACACAAGAAGAUAUUCUGUUAUAUUCAGUAGGGGAUAAAGCACAAUAUAAGGAAUAAAUUGCUUUUGCAUCAAGAGCUUGUCUCUUGAUUAUCUCUUCCUGAGUCAUUUCGCUAAACUCAACAUCAUAUUUUCCUCUUUCUGAGACAGAUGCAGCUUUAGGAAUGAUUCAUUUUUCUACAACGUCCCAUUCCAGAGGAUCAUUUGAUCUUAGGAAUGCUUUCAUCUUGUUUUUCCAUGUGUUGUAAUCAUUUCCAUCAAAGUAAGGUGGUCUGGUAUUGCUUUGCCCUUCUACCAACCCUGGAGCCAACAUACUAGCCAUUGAUCUUUAACUCUGAAGUAAAACACUUCAAACAAAGUGAGUACACAGGCUCUGAUACCAAUUGAGAUAGCUAGUAUAAGCACCUAGAGGGAGAUGAAUAGGUGCACAAACAAAUUCUCGAGAUACGGAAGCGAGGCAAACGAUAGAAAGGAAAAUUCGAUCAAAGUAAAGUAAGAGUUAGGGAAGAGAAAAUUGAACACAAGAUUUAUAGUGGUUCGGCUUUAUUCCAAGCCUACAUCCACUCUUCCGCACUGACAGCCUACCGGCUAGAUUUCACUAUGAACAAAAGAGAAGUUACAGCACAGCUUUUCCUUGAUUCCACAGUGUAGAUGAUCUACCACACUUCCUCAAGGUUUCUCAUGAAUAUAAACUCUAUUUUGUUUACACGAUUUUGCUCAAAUGAAUUGACUGAGAACAAAGAGCUUCAGACUUUGGAAUUCUUCUAUCGUGUACCUUCUCGAACAACUAGAACGUCUUCCAUAUAUACUCCUUCAUGCCAUCAUACCCGUUGGCACUUACCAAAGGAAUUCCUCCAAUCUACCCGUUGGACGGAAUCAAUUAGGAAGAUCAUUCGAGCUAUUUAAGGAACAUGUCGAUAGCCCAUCAAUCCUGUUCGCCCAUACAAUCAGGAUCUCGGUUUCCAUAAGU
rnacentral:lncRNA from 1 species